rnacentral:rRNA from 1 species
ACACUCCUGCGGGAGGCAGCAGUGGGGAAUUUUGGACAAUGGGCGAAAGCCUGAUCCAGCAAUGCCGCGUGAGUGAAGAAGGCCUUCGGGUUGUAAAGCUCUUUUGUCAGGGAAGAAACGGUGAGAGCUAAUAUCUUUUGCUAAUGACGGUACCUGAAGAAUAAGCACCGGCUAACUACGUGCCAGCAGCCGCGGUAAUACGUAGGGUGCAAGCGUUAAUCGGCAUUACUGGGCGUAAAGCGUGCGCAGGCGGUUUUGUAAGUCUGAUGUGAAAUCCCCGGGCUCAACCUGGGAAUUGCAUUGGAGACUGCAAGGCUAGAAUCUGGCAGAGGGGGGUAGAAUUCCACGUGUAGCAGUGAAAUGCGUAGAUAUGUGGAGGAACACCGAUGGCGAAGGCAGCCCCCUGGGUCAAGAUUGACGCUCAUGCACGAAAGCGUGGGGAGCAAACAGGAUUAGAUACCCGGGUAGUCCC